GUAAUAUUCAAACGAGGGCGGUAUACGUCUCCCAUGAACACGUUCUCAAAUAUCUGUGAAUACUAUUUUUUUCAUUUACUAUUCAUACCUACAUAUAUAGUUAUGUAUACAUGUAAAGGAAGUAAAAGACAUGAAAUACUACAUUGGUAUAAAAUUGAGAAAGGGAAUGGGAAAUGGGUCAAACAACAACUUGAACAUAGAGCAGACAGCAGCCGAAGGCAACCAAUGGGUCUUCAAUGUAGCGAGAAUUCCCGCACCCGCAGGUGUCCUUCAGCUGGCCCUUAAAAUAUAUGUAUACUAGUACAGUGAUAAUGGACAUCAUACUAAACUCCAAAUUAUACACAAGAAACUUAAAUUAAAAAUCAUACAAGACUAACAAAGGCCAGAGGCUCCUGACUUGGUACAGGUGCAACAUUACGACGGGGUUACACGUGGUUAUGAGAUCUAAACCCUCCCCCUAUACCUCUAGCCAAUGUAGAAAAGUACACGCAUAACAAUACGCACAUUAAAAUUUAAUUCAAGAGAACUCCGAGUCCGUUGUCAAAAGAUGUAACAAAAAAAAAAUUAAAAAAAAUGACAAUAAUAUAUAAAUAACAACAUAUACUAAUAAACAGUUGUUAAACAAAUAUUUUGAUUUGAUCGUCACUGAUGAGUCUUAUGUCGACGAAACUCGCGUCUAGCGUACUAAAUUGGAAUUCUGGUACCUUUAAUAACUAAUUAUAUUAGAUUGAUGACUUUAUUCCUACCAAAUAUGUGAAUUUGUUCUGGUGAUUUAUUUUUUCUGCGACCAUUUUUUCAUCUUUUCCCUUUUUGAGGUAUAUUUUGGGAUAAAAUUAUCAGCAGACGGACUUUAUCGAUUGAUGAAACUACAAAAUAUGUUAAGCGUGUUACUGUCCAAUCUUUUAUAACACUUAUUCCAGCAUACUAAAUAUGAUGAUGUUCAGGUCCUGAUAAAAAGUUACACAUCCAGUACAAAUAGAAGUGUUUCAGUGCCAGUUUUCGUGUUUUUCGAGG
rnacentral:lncRNA from 1 species